rnacentral:rRNA from 1 species
CCUACGGGCGGCAGCAGUGAGGAAUAUUGGUCAAUGGCCGCAGGUCUGAACCAGCCAAGUCGCGUGAGGGAUGACGGUCCUAUGGAUUGUAAACCUCUUUUGUCAAGGAGCAAAGGGCGCCACGUGUGGCUUUUUGCGCGUACCUUAAGAAAAAGCAUCGGCUAACUCCGUGCCAGCAGCCGCGGUAAUACGGAGGAUGCGAGCGUUAUCCGGAUUUAUUGGGUUUAAAGGGUGCGCAGGCGGAAUGUCAAGUCAGCGGUAAAAUUUCGGGGCUCAACCCCGUCGUGCCGUUGAAACUGGCGGUCUUGAGUGAGCGAGAAGUAUGCGGAAUGCGUGGUGUAGCGGUGAAAUGCAUAGAUAUCACGCAGAACUCCGAUUGCGAAGGCAGCAUACCGGAGCGCAACUGACGCUCAUGCACGAAAGCGUGGGUAUCGAACAGGAUUAGAUACCCGGGUAGUC